AUUGAACGCUGGCGGCAGGCCUAACACAUGCAAGUCGAACGGUAACAGGAAGAAGCUUGCUUCUUUGCUGACGAGUGGCGGACGGGUGAGUAAUGUCUGGGAAACUGCCUGAUGGAGGGGGAUAACUACUGGAAACGGUAGCUAAUACCGCAUAACGUCGCAAGACCAAAGAGGGGGACCUUCGGGCCUCUUGCCAUCGGAUGUGCCCAGAUGGGAUUAGCUAGUAGGUGGGGUAACGGCUCACCUAGGCGACGAUCCCUAGCUGGUCUGAGAGGAUGACCAGCCACACUGGAACUGAGACACGGUCCAGACUCCUACGGGAGGCAGCAGUGGGGAAUAUUGCACAAUGGGCGCAACCCUGAUGCAGCCAUGCCGCGUGUAUGAAGAAGGCCUUCGGGUUGUAAAGUACUUUCAGCGGGGAGGAAGGGAGUAAAGUUAAUACCCUUGCUCAUUGACGUUACCCGCAGAAGAAGCACCGGCUAACUCCGUG
rnacentral:rRNA from 1 species